AAUGAACGCUGGCGGCGUGCUUAACACAUGCAAGUCGAGCGGAAAGGCCCCUUGUGGGUACUCGAGCGGCGAACGGGUGAGUAACACGUGAGUAAUCUGCCCUUCACUUCAGGAUAGCUCCCGGAAACGGGGAUUAAUACUGGAUAUGACACCUUAGCGCAUGAGGGUGUGUGGAAAGUUUUUUCGGUGGGGGAUGUGCGCGCGGCCUAUCAGCUUGAUGGUGGGGUAAUGGCCUACCAUGUCUGCGACGGGUAGCCGUCCUGGGAGGGUGACCGGUCACACUGGGACUGAGACACGGCCCAGACUCCUACGGGAGGCAGCAGUGGGGAAUAUUGGACAAUGGGCGGAAGCCUGAUCCAGCAACGCCGCGUGAGGGAUGACGGCCUUCGGGUUGUAAACCUCUUUCAGCACAGACGAAGCGCAAGUGACGGUAUGUGCAGAAGAAGGACCGGCCAACUACGUGCCAGCAGCCGCAGUAAUAC
rnacentral:rRNA from 1 species